CGUCUAUAUACGUAUAGCAUAUCAAUAAGCGGAGGAAAAGAAACUAACAAGGAUUCCCUUAGUAACGGCGAGUGAAGCGGGAAAAGCUCAAAUUUGAAAUCUUCAAGGUUCUACCUUGACGAAUUGUAGUUUAUAGAAGUGUUUUCUGUUAGUAGAGUGGCAAAAGUUCUUUGGAAUAGGACAUCAUAGAGGGUGAGAAUCCCGUAUUUGGUCAUUCUUUCUAGCUUUGUGAUACACUUUCAACGAGUCGGAUUGUUUGGGAAUGCAGUCCAAAAUGGGUGGUAAAUUUCAUCUAAAGCUAAAUAUUGGCGAGAGACCGAUAGCGAACAAGUACCGUGAGGGAAAGAUGAAAAGAACUUUGAAAAGAGAGUUAAACAGUACAUGAAAUUGUCAAAAGGGAAGCGUUUGACACCAGUGUUGUUUUUCCGAAAAUCAAUUACGAAUGGUUUUGUUUUUAAGAAGUUAUGACUUCAUCGGCUUGCUUCUCUCUUUACGAAACUUUCUUAAUGCACUUUUCGGUUAACAAGUCAACAUCAAUUUCUUUUGUUGUAAAAGGGUAUGAGGAAGGUGGCUUUCUUUUCGGAGAAAGUGUUUAUAGCCUUGUACCUCUGCAAUCGGAGAGAUUGAGGUCUGCAGCGUAGAUCCUUCGGGGUUAGAUACAUUUGUGCUAAGUUAUAGCUUUUCAUAGACAACUUGUUGACUAUGUUAAGUCUUGUAGCUUACUCGCAGUAUGCUAUUUUACCUACGCUUAGGAUGUUGACGAGACUGUCGAUCUC
rnacentral:rRNA from 1 species